rnacentral:rRNA from 1 species
CAUUACCGAUUUUGGCCGCGUCCAGGUUAAAAACCGCGAAAGUGCUUGCCACGUUUGUCUCCAUCUCUUCCCCAAGUAUUUUGGCUCGGCUUUGCAGGUUCGAAGGACUCUCUUUUUGGCAGGCAGGUACGGAGGACUCGUCAUGCAUUUGUUUGACAGGUUCGAAGGACUCGCCGCUCGGAGGGAUCGGAGGGCGUGCUACUCGUGUGUUUUGGCAGGUAAUCUCGUCAUUCGUGAGGUACGAAGCGACAGCAUGGAAGGAGUUUUGUAGCUACCCGAUGGGUCCCGUGGUCUAGCCUUACGGCGGGAUCCUGCGGCCUUUUGGGGGCGGCGACUCUGGAGAAGUGCUGUGGCAGCAACGACGGGAAGCGGACUUGCUACGACACCUACUGGCCGGCUGGAAAAACAAGGAAGAUUGAAGGACCAAAACGAACGAAAGGCAGGGUGUGAACCCCGUGAAAGAAUUGCGUUAUGCGAUGUCGGGCGAGAGGCGUCUCGCCGAGCUUUUUACCAAGCUCGAAACAAAGCGUACCCACAUUUGAACCCCACUAAACUCUGAAUCUGAACUCAAAAGGAGGUGCGCGCGAGCCGCGCGCCUUCUCAACCUUUAACGUUGUAAAACUUUCAGCGACGGAUGUCUUGGCUCCCACAACGAUGAAGAACGCAGCGAAAUGCGAUACGUCUUGCGACUUGCAGAAUCCAGUGAAUCAUCAAAACUUUGAACGCAUCUUGCGCUUCCGGGAUAUGCCUGGGAGCAUGCUUGUCGGAGUGUCUGUUGACACCACUCGCCCCACUUUUCGGUCUGCUUGCAGUCGAGACGGUGGCGGCGGACUCUGCGUGUUCCGGAGCUCGCGCUCCGAGUGCACCGAACCUCGUGAACGAGACCCCCUGCCGGUUGGAAGAUUGCGGAACUAGGAGCGUUAAAAACUCCUGGGGAUGCGCGGCUUAACCUCCGCGAGCAGGAUUGUUGACGGCAUGGCGCGUUGUGUAUUAUUAUCUUGAAGGCUGCUUAUUUAUGCGGUCGACUAGUGUAUUAUAGGCAUUGCGUCACGACUUCUACAAUCCGUUAUACGCUCUCACCGUAAAUCCAGUAGGUGCGGGUCUGCAAGUUCCGGUUGCCUUGCGUGUCUGCUCUAUUAUUAUUGCAGCAGCUCGCAAACUACCCCAACUUUCGUUCGGACCUCCGAUCAAGCAAGAGGACCCGCUGAAUUUAAG